CAUUUAUCCCAUUGUACCCUAAAGGCACCAGAUCCCAUUUGAUCUUGAAAGCAAAGCACGGUACGUCCUGACUGGUACUUUGAUGGGAGACUACCAAUAAAGUCAAAGGGCUGUAUAAUGU
rnacentral:rRNA from 11 species